CUCUUCCUAAACAUGUAACGUUCGAAACAUCAACUCUCAGGUGAAACAAUUAAAGGCAACUUGGGUUCCUUCGCGUCCGGAAUCCUUUUGACAUGGACUUCCCCUGUAUUACCCAAACUCAAUAACGCGACCAACGUCGAU
rnacentral:misc_RNA from 1 species